rnacentral:rRNA from 1 species
GAUGAACGCUGGCGGCGUGCCUAAUACAUGCAAGUCGAGCGAACAGACGAGGAGCUUGCUCCUCUGACGUUAGCGGCGGACGGGUGAGUAACACGUGGAUAACCUACCUAUAAGACUGGGAUAACUUCGGGAAACCGGAGCUAAUACCGGAUAAUAUAUUGAACCGUAUGGUUCAAUAGUGAAAGACGGUUUUGCUGUCACUUAUAGAUGGCUCCGCGCCGCAUUAGCUAGUUGGUAAGGUAACGGCUUACCAAGGCAACGAUGCGUAGCCGACCUGAGAGGGUGAUCGGCCACACUGGAACUGAGACACGGUCCAGACUCCUACGGGAGGCAGCAGUAGGGAAUCUUCCGCAAUGGGCGAAAGCCUGACGGAGCAACGCCGCGUGAGUGAUGAAGGUCUUCGGAUCGUAAAACUCUGUUAUUAGGGAAGAACAAAUGUGUAAGUAACUAUGCACGUCUUGACGGUACCUAAUCAGAAAGCCACGGCUAACUACGUG